rnacentral:rRNA from 1 species
GAUGAACGCUAGCGGCAGGCUUAACACAUGUAAGUCGAGGGGCAACACGGGUAGCAAUACCUGGUGGCGACCGGCGCAAGGGUGCGUAACGCGUGAGCAACAUGCCCUAUACAGGGGGAUAAUCCAGGGAAACUUGGUCUAAUAUCCCAUAGUAUUUAGAGGUGGCAUCACCACUAAAUUAAAGCUUCGGUGGUAUAGGAUUGGCUCGCGUGACAUUAGCUGGAUGGUGGGGUAACGGCUCACCAUGGCGAUGAUGUCUAGGGGUUCUGAGAGGAAGACCCCCCACACUGGGACUGAGACACGGCCCAGACUCCUACGGGAGGCAGCAGUGAGGAAUAUUGGACAAUGGAUGGAAAUCUGAUCCAGCCACACCGCGUGUGCGAAGAAGGCCUUCGGUCGUAAAGCACUUUUGGAAGGAAUAGGAAGGAAUGUACUUCCAGAAUAAGUCUCGGCUAACUACGUG